rnacentral:rRNA from 1 species
AGAGUUUGAUCCUGGCUCAGGAUGAACGCUAGCGGCAGGCUUAACACAUGCAAGUCGAGGGGUAGAAGUCUUCGGACUUUGAGACCGGCGCACGGGUGCGUAACGCGUAUGCAAUCUACCUUUUACAGAGGGAUAGCCCAGAGAAAUUUGGAUUAAUACCUCAUAGUAUAAUGACCUGGCAUCAGGAUGUUAUUAAAGUCACAACGGUAAAAGAUGAGCAUGCGUCCCAUUAGCUAGUUGGUAAGGUAACGGCUUACCAAGGCUACGAUGGGUAGGGGUCCUGAGAGGGAGAUCCCCCACACUGGUACUGAGACACGGACCAGACUCCUACGGGAGGCAGCAGUGAGGAAUAUUGGACAAUGGGCGCAAGCCUGAUCCAGCCAUGCCGCGUGCAGGAUGACGGUCCUAUGGAUUGUAAACUGCUUUUAUACGAGAAGAAACACUCCAACGUGUUGGAGCUGACGGUAUC